GACGAACGCUGGCGGCGUGCUUAACACAUGCAAGUCGAACGGAGCGAAUGAAAGCUUGCUUUUAUGAGCUUAGUGGCAAACGGGUGAGUAACACGUAGACAACCUGCCGACAGGAUGGGGACAACAUUCCGAAAGGAAUGCUAAUACCGAAUGAAGUCGAGGGAAGGCAUCUUCCUUCGAUGAAAGAUGGCCUCUAUUUAUAAGCUAUCACCUGUCGAUGGGUCUGCGUCUGAUUAGCUGGUUGGUGAGGUAACGGCUCACCAAGGCGACGAUCAGUAGCCGGUCUGAGAGGAUGAACGGCCACAUUGGGACUGAGACACGGCCCAGACUCCUACGGGAGGCAGCAGUGGGGAAUCUUCCGCAAUGGGCGCAAGCCUGACGGAGCAACGCCGCGUGAGUGAAGAAGGUCUUCGGAUCGUAAAGCUCUGUUGACGGGGACGAAUGUACGGAGUGCGAAUAGUGC
rnacentral:rRNA from 1 species